rnacentral:rRNA from 1 species
UGUUGAGAAGGCGGUAAUGAUUGAAAUUGACGAGGACGUUGUAGAAUUAUCACGUGAAUUCCUCAAAGAGUGGUCAGACUGUUCAGAUCUUGUUGGCAGUACCAACGACUGCUUUGAAGAUCCUAGGGCUGAAGUGCGGUA